rnacentral:lncRNA from 1 species
AAACUUGGACAUUGAUAGCAUAGUGAUGCGUUAGAAAGAGAAGACAGACUCAUUAAACGGCGAGCCCUCCUCUGCCUACCUAACAAGUGUAAAGGCGUUCUGGCAUUGGAACGAUGCUGAAGGUUCUGCCUUUCCAGGAACAGGUCUCUCCUUCUCCUUUAUAGCACGGAAAAUAAUAGAAAAUACCAGCAGCGCCACCACCUCCUCCCAGCAGCGGUGUCCCUCAUAGCUGUCAACACACACCUACACCAGUUGCCGAGCUUCAAUCUUUUUCAACCACCACAAUUGCCAUCAAUGCCACUGACGACUCCAAUAACGGUGAGCAUCACCCGAAGCAGCAGCUGUUUCUCCACGGGAGAACCUUUUUUUUUCUUCCAGCAGUGGUCAAGUCUUUAUAGAGGGAAAGGUUCGACGUACCAGUAAAAAGAGAGGAGGAGGCCAAAACUUCAACAGAGCAGAUCUCCAAUCUCAAAUAGCGUGAAGGUGCACCACUGAUCUACAAGUGACGAGGGAAAAGAGAUAUUGUAAAUCCCAGUAACUUCCAAUCGGGAAAAUAAUUACUGAAAAUUUUUUUGGGGUAAUUUAGGGUGAAAAUCCAGAAAAAAAUAGAUUAGAACUGUGAAUAAGUUAAUGUAUAAAUUUACGCGCCCAUGAUACUAACUUGAUCAUGUAAAUUCAAACAAAAAAUGGUGAAUUAGAUCCAGGGGAAAUUUUAAGAUCUUGAAAGAGUAUCAUUAAUCUUGGAUUAUUUGAAAAUAAAAUUGUGUAUGAAAAGUUCCGUGAUUGGGGGAAUUAAAAAAAAGUAAGUGAUAUUUUUGUAAAUAAAAGAAAACACUUUUUCCCUUCUU